rnacentral:misc_RNA from 1 species
CAGGACUAGACCAUUGACGAAAACUUUUUUUAUCUAUCAAAAAUCAGUUCUUUGUUUUUUAUCCGGCGGAUGAUUGUUUUUUCAAUUUUACAGAAAAUAAAUGCAUGAUGACGAGUAGGGGAAGGAAUUACACGCAGAGCAACGAGUGGGACUCGACCAGGGAAGACUACAACAGCUCCAUUUUUGAUGCGCAAUACGGUGACGAGGAUACUAGUGGUGAAGCAAGCCAGCUAGAUCAUUGUAGACUUUACAUAAAGAAUAUACCGAAAGGCUUGAACGAAGAAGGCUUGCGGUCAGCGUUCGCCAAGUUCGGGACCCUCACCCAGGUCUUUUUGAGCAGGGACCCGCAGAAGAGCUAUGGUUUGGUCAAAUAUGAGACUCCUGGGGAAGCUAAGUUGGCGAUGAUGAAGAUGAAUAGAACUGAACCUCUCAGGUUGCAGAUUAAUAUUGCUUAUAAAAGUAAGGCAACGCCUGCAGUAGAAAGCAGGCCAAGUCGGAACUGGCAAGACAGGAACACGAACGCGUCCAGAGACAGGAGCGAUAGAGCGAGCCUAAGCAACAGAGAUAGAGAGGAGAGCGGCAGUGUUGCCAGUCGCAGCCGGACUUCUAGAGUACAAGAGGACAUUCCUAACGGAGAAAACAAUAUGGACGAGUUAUUGAUGGAAGAUGACUAUGGAUUCUCCGAUAUCCUGGACCCGAACCUCCACUUGGAGUUGGAAAGCUUGAAGCUUGAGCAGCUGAAGGUGCGCGAGGAACAGCUGCAAUGCAAGCAACGCGUCAUACUCCUCAAACAGGCUGAGAGGCGGCCGAUGGCGCAAAUGAGCAACAGGUGCAUUCUACCUGAUGGCAAGAUUGUGGUCCGGAAUGUCAAUGACCGGGACUCUCGCGAUGCCGACGUGAGCUUCAGCGCCGGCGCGGGUGAUUCGCUAACACUUCCUGGACUGCAGCGAGAGGCGGCGCGACACUGCGUCGUGUGCGGCCUCCGCGCAGACAAGUUCUGCGCGGCCUGCGGAAUUACGCCCUACUGCGCAGAAGCCUGUCAGCGACGAGACUGGUUGGAUAGACAUAAGGGUGUCUGCCAUAAUUUGGCUAGAUUGAACGUCGCAAACGGAAGAGCGGCUCGCGAUAUUCCUGACACUGAACCUAAAUUACAACCGGCGCCGCCGCUUCGACGCCCAAACCUACAAAAUGAUAAUAAGAGAGAACAAGAGGAUAAUAAUAAUACAUACACUUCCAAGUAUUGGAAUUACUACGCGAGCGUCAAGUCCUCUGGGUCCGGUAACAGAGAUGACAAGCCCAGGUUCCAAGGGAGACAGCCUGCUAAGCCGAGGCAGUUCAAUCAGGAACGAGACAACGAACCGGCUAAGCCAACCCAACAACCAACUCCCACAAAAGAAGCCGAAUCAAGAACAAAACCACGUAGCUUCUUCAACAAAGUACCCCAAAAGGUACCACGCCAACCCGCCAGAGAACCAGAAGUUACAGAAGAUAUAACACAGAAGAAUGUGCCAACACCCGUUGUACAAGCUAAACCGACUAUGGUGCCAACAUCUGUGGUUUUGAAUGCUAGACAGAAUUUAGUGCCUAAAACAUCUGCACCAGAACAGCCCCAAGCGAAGCCAGAAACUGUUAAGCCUGAGGAGACAACCCCCCCUCCAAAAGAAGCCCCCCCAGUUGUAAAACUGGCCAGUGUUAGCGAUGUCACUCCUACAAAGAAAUAUACGCCUAAGAACUACCUCAUGGAGAAACUGUCAAUCGGAAAUACAGUCGUAAUUUCCGUAGAAGCGAAGACGUCUGAUUGCCGUACCAACCGGGGUGAUUUCGUAUGUGUCACUAUGUCUGAAGCCUUUCAAAAUGAUUACGAGAUACUUAUCGGGGAAUUUGGAGAAGCUUGUGAGGAAGACCAGGUGGAUUAUAAACCAAACCCGGGUGAAACUUGCUCCUACUUCGAUCCAUCUGACAGCGGUUGGUAUCGCGCUCGCUGUCUCAACCCGACCACGCUGGCUCUAUUAGACGGAGCUAAGAUAGUCACUGUGUCAGCAGCCGACAAGAUACGGAAACUGCCGAGCAAGUACGAAGCUGUGCCCGAGUUCUGUGCUGUGCUGUGUAGCAAGACUGUUCAGGUCGGAGCAAAUAUUUCAUGCGAGAUCCUCUCCAAUGUAGGCGAUGGGUACAAAGUAUCCAUGAAAGACGUAGAGACUGACCAAUCGUACGGCGACGGCGAACUGUACCGUUGGCUGCCCACUGUUGAACAUCAGGCUCCUACCCCAUCAGUCCCAGCGGUAGUAGAAAGGCCGCCAGUAACAGACGGAACUAAAGUAUUCCUAGUGCUAGCGGAUCAUCUGGACAAAGCGUACGUGUGUGCGAGCGACGCCGACACGCAGCGGCGCUACAACGAGGUGCUGCAGAAUGUACUGCUCAAGGCUCUCAACGCCAAACCACUGAAGGAGCCGCCUCAAGUCGGUCAGACAGUGAUCGGCAAAUACUCGGACGGUAUGUUCUACCGAGCGCUAGUACUGCGCACCAAAGUCAAGGAGAACAGAUAUCUCAUCGAGUAUAUUGAGUAUGGCAACACGGAAGUAUCAAACCUAGAAAACCUAUACCCUUGUCCCUUGGAGCUGAGCGUUCAGCGCGAGCCGAGCCUUGUGUCCGCCGUCAAGCUAGCCGACCGCGCGGAGCUGUCUGCCGCCGCCCGCGCACUGCUCGACCAGCUCAAGAACCACGAGGAGCUGCUGCUGACACUACCAAACGGCCGUAAAUCAGCCCCGAGCGGCUCCGAAGCCACCCUCACCAUCAUCAAGAACAAGGACAACCUGAACAGCAAGCUGCUGCAGAUGUGCACUCCUGAGUGGAAGAAGAUGCAGGACAGAGGCGUCGAUGUUGUCGAAACCCAACCCCUAAUGUACCAAGACAUGCAGCACACCAGUCUUCCUGAAGCCGGGUGUACCGUCCAAGUGCUGGACAUCAGCAUGCUGACCGGCGGCGUCGUGUCCGGUCACGCGAUGGACGACCCCCAUGCCGACGAUGUCUUCAACCGACUUACGCAAAAGAUGGCGGAAUACUGCAACAGCCCGCUAGGCAAAGAGCCUUAUCUGCCCAAACCCGAAGAGGUCUGCAUCGCACAAAUGCCUCCUUAUGACCAAUGGUUCCGCGCCGUCUUCCUGGACCUGGAAGGAGGUCCCGGCAGUAAGAUGGCCAGCCUAUGCUACUUGGACUACGGCAACUUAGCAUCUGUGCCCGUCGCACUGGUGCGGAAGAUGCUACCCGAGUUUAUUACUGGUUACCCAGUUAUGGGACUCAAUAUGGAGAUUAGAAAUUUCCCCAAAGACCCGUCAGCUGACAUGAUCUCCCGAGCCAUCGCUCACAUGAACAUCGACGAUGAAGGGAAAGGUACGCUCAAACUUAUCAACUGCGAGAAAACACCAGAUGGUAUGUACUUAGUCGACGCUCCGGAACUUUUAAAAGCUAUGAAAGGAUAGAUAUUAGAACAAAAUGUCUAGCGGAGAUGUCAUAACGGAAAUAUAGUUAUCGGCACGAAUCUUGAGCUCUGACCUACAUCUGCGCAGAAGUGAUUUAUUAGCAAAGAACCAAUCCCGAGUGGCCAAUCACCGCUUUAGCCCGCUCCCGCGCCUCACUUCAUACCACAAAAGGGACCCAAUAAAUUACUUCUGCGCAGGUGAAGGUCAGAGCUCAAGAUUCGUGCCGAUAACUAUAUCUCCUAAGAAAGUUGCGCGGGACCAGGAAUACGCCCAUUUUUUUUGUCAAAUUACCCGAACGUUUCGUUAGUUUACUAGUAACUGAUCGUUUCGAUAACUUGACCUACCUCAAUUAUGACAUCUUUGCUCACCUUUCGUUACUCCGUGCAUUUAUCUAAAGGUAAACAUGAUAUGACUUUUUAUACAAAUUAAACUAAUAAAUGACUGCUAAAGCUUAUUGAUUAAGUAAUUGCUGAUUAUUAAAUAAAAAGUCAUGUCAGUUUAUCUUUAAUUUUUCUGUAAAAUUAAUUAAGAAUUUUGUAUAUAAUAUUGUCAAGAACAGUGAUUAUUUGUAAUCAUAUAAUCAUAUGUGUCAGUUCGCGGUAAAAGGUACCUUAUGGGUGUUGGCACUUACGAAAUUAUGUUUUUUUAGUCUAAACAAGAUUGUAGAAUUUGUAUCUCCAAAUGACUUAAGCGCCAAAGUCCAUAAGGUACCUUUUUACCAUAUUUCCAAGUCAUUCCGUUUCUGCCAAAGUUGACAGAAGCAGAAUUUAAAGGUACAUUUUGAACGCAAAGUACCGACUGCCCGAUCUAAAACGGUUUCAUGUAAAUACAUACGAACCAGUAGUGCAGCUGCGGCCGACUUCAUGCAGUCGCGGCAUGUGCGGUCCGCAGCUAGCAUUUAAAACGUACCUUUUUACUUAAAUUACCUUUUACUUUUGAUCGCGCUGGUGCGAAGAAUGAUUUUCAAAAUUUCGACUAAAGGGCUUAUUACGCUUGGCUAAAUUCAGUAGUCAGUAAGUGCUGGAGUGGAGACCACGGACUAGCAAGCGCAGCGUAGGACGUCCACCAACAAGGUGGACAGACGACCUUAUAAAGGUCGCCGUCGACGCUGGAUGCAGGUCGCCUCCAACAGGCAUCUGUGGAGAUCUAAGGGGGAGGCCUAUGUUCAGCAGUGGACGUCCUAUGCCUGAGAUGAUGAUGAUGAUGAA